AGAGGCAACACCGGUCCACGGCAUUCCGCUUUGUGCGCUGUGACGCUUCGGAUGUUGGCAGCAAGUGCUCUCCCUUUGGCGCGACUGUGAACGCCCGGAUGCGAGCGGGAUUAGCGUGGAUGCGCGCCGCCGUCGGCUCGUGUUGUGUGUGAGAAGAAGAAGCCGGCUCUCAGUUUUUUGUCGUGGACUUCCGAACGGUGCUGGCGACUUCUUGAUCGACUCGGUGUAAUCUCUCUACCUUGGCCCCAUCGGCGGUUUGUCGUUUCUAGAUUGCGCGGCAGCGUCCAGGCCGCCGCCGCCUCCUUACAUUCCGUUAUGGAUACCACCACCUGCCUCACGUCCGUCGUUCUGCUGUUGGCUGCUUUGUCGGCAACGACUGUCGGCCAGACCGAGACGGCGACGCCAGCUGUGACGACAACAUCAACUCCGGUGCAAAAGUCCACAAACGACCUGUUGGGGACGUCGUCUGAGGAGAGUUUGCUUAGCCAACACGGGACAACGACCACUGGGCUCACGGAGCAAACAAAUGAUGAAGCUUCUACUUUGCCACCAAGCUCGGAGAGCAGCUCUGGACCGCAGACGAACAACGAUAUUUUUGGCACCGAAAAUGAAAAGCUGAACGACAUAGAAGCCGAUAAGCUAGCGAAGACCGAAGUCCACGAGGAGUCCGAAAGCGCUGUUGGUGCAGAGACACCCGUGGUGGCGACGAAUGGUACCACGACAGCGGUAUCUACGCAAGUACCAAUGACAGAAAUACAUCCAAGUUCAGCGGAUGUCUUCGUGACGACUGGAUCAACAGAGCACCCAGUGCCGUUCCAUGCAGAAGGGACGACUGCCUCUAGUCACAUGGGUGACGACGGUGCAACAGGUGCGUCGUCCAUGGUUCCUGUUACAACAUCAAAUACACUGCCACCGGAAGCGGCUUCAGCAGCUGACGAUUCCGGGGUCACCACGGAUUCAAGUGUAAAUUCAGAAACGACGAAUUUUGCAGCGACAGCAACGCCGCACGCCUUGCGGGAGACUACUUAUCCGGGUUCCUUCGCUACUCAGCAGGCGCAAGCCGUACCGUUUUCUACAGACCAGCCUGAUGUUCUGUCGGAGUCCACUUCAGUGCCGAGCAUUAGUGGUCCUCAGAGUGUAGAGAGCGCCUUGGAAACGCCCACUGAAGGUGGUUACGGGGUCUAUCCCUACUACCAGCCCGAAAUAUCCUCACCUGCCCUAGCGACAGGUCCUUUUCAUACUCCCAGCCUUUAUUCUGACCCAUUGAACACGAACGUUCCGGGCUAUUUUAACCCGACGGGAACGAAUGGUGACAUCUUUCCUAGGUUUAGCGUCGGGUUCUCGCGUAAGCGCUACUCUAGCGCUCCAGAAGUGGUCACCGAAGAGCAGACAUUGUCACCGGAAAGCGUUGAUGACACUACGCCAUCGGCAAAUACAGCCACUUCCGAACAGAGUCACGCGUAUGACGAGGCCACAGUACCUCCCACGUACAGCACUGCAAACGAAUCUGAGGCCACCGGUUCUGGAGUAUCGUUGCCGGCGUCAGAUGCUGACAGUACUACCGAAGGAAUCACUCACACACCACACCUCGGCAUGAUAACGAACCUUUACUCUGUUGAUUCUACAUUGCUAUCAACAGAAUCUCCGGCUCAGCAUGAAAGUACGGACACUCAACAUCAAAGUGAGCUGACCAGUUCCACAGAAAAUCAACCCGACGAAGCAACACCCAGCACAGAUUCCACGCCUGCUACCAGUAUUAAUGACGGUGCACCCGAUGUGCCGACUACAGAGUCAAGCGUGACGCAUGAACCUUUAAUUAAUAGAACAAAGAUAGGCAGGGCACGUACCUUCGAAGAGGCGGAUCCCGGUACUAAUGAUGUAACCGGGGAGGCACCUAGAGAAAUGGCGCCCACACCGUAUUUGGAGAGUGAAGAAAAUGCGGCACACGAAAGCUCAUCUGAAGCGGCGUCACCAGUCACUACUGUUUCUGAAAGCACCGCCAGUGUCAGUGCUACAGAGGAAUCAACGACAGUUUCUCCUGCCUCAGUCAAACUAGAACCGACUACAACGGCCCCCGCCGGAACCGCACCUUCAGAUAUUACAACGAGCGACACCACCGGUUCCAUAGAUGUUACGCAGACAAGCAGCGAGAGCGCCACAGGAGCAUCUACAGAGAGUGAAACGUCGACCGCGGUCAUUACCAGCACGUCUCCGGAUUCUGGUACGCCUUUGCAGGAGACCACGACUACGCAGUUGACAACCCCAGGGGGAGACACUACGUCCGAGACAAGCGACUCAAGCGUGCCCCAAGUACCAGUGGAAAUGACCACCUCAUCUCGUGAGGAGGCGACCUCAAGCUCAGUUACAGACACUGCAACAGGGAGGGUCACGGAUUCGGUGACGACAGCACCCACAGAUACGUCUACUCAGAGUGUGUCACAGUCGACGGAAGAACCAGGGACUUCCACCGAUUCGACAAUGGUUGCUAGUGGCGACAGGAGCACGCAGUCCCCGGAUAUUGCUGUUACGCAAGAAACCACUGAAGUUUCAACAGACACUGCUACGACAGAAUCUCAUGUGAGUUCACCGGCUGCGACAACCCAGGUAGAAGCAUCUACAGACGCAUCAUCAGGACACCCAGAGAUAAGGACGGGCGGUGAUUUCACGACAAUGACCCCUACUAUGACAGAUGGACCAACAAAUGAGUACCCGCAGCAUGCGGAGGCCAGCCUUUCCACUUCAGGUACAACCGAAAUCGUUCAGCCGGUUGGAAGGGAAGAGUUGACGACAGAAGGAGAGAGCAACAUGGAGCGAACAACUUCCAUCCUGUCGGAAGGGACCACUGCCCCGGCAACCGAGGAGGUAAUGACGACGGCACAGCAACUGCAAACAACCGAAUUACCGACGUACGAGGUGACAACACCAUCUUCGCCUGUUAUUUCGAACGAAGAUGGUGAGAGUACAUCGUCAUCUGUGAACGCGGCUACAACGCCAACAGCAGUCGACAGGGAAGCCGAGUUUACAACACUGACUACUGAGACUGCAGCAACCCCAGAAGCCGGGUCUAUAACACCAGAAGCGGAAGGUACAACACUGAUAGCUGACACUACAACAAAACCAACCACCGACACUGUAACACAAGCCUCCGGGACUACCGCGUCACCAGUUGUCGAGACUACAGCACCUCCAUCUGCCGACACUACGGCACCUCCAGCUGCCGACACUACGGCACCUCCAGCUGCCGAGACUGCAGCACCGCCAGCUGCCGAGACUACAGCACCGCCAGCUGCCGAGACUACAGCACCGCCAGCUGCCGAGGCUACAGCACCGCCAGCUGCCGAGACUACAGCACCGCCAGCUUCCGAGACUACAGCACCGCCAGCUUCCGAGACUACAGCAUCGGCAGCUGCCGAAACUACAGCAGCGGCAGCCGAGAGUACAACACAGACAGCCGAGAUUGCAACACAAGCCGCCGAGACAACAACUGCCCUGAGCGCUGAGCCUGAAACGGAACCAGCAGUAGGCGAGGUUACAACGUCACCCUCAGCUGUCGAAAUUACGACAGCGGACGUAAGCAAUGUUAUAACGACGACAGCAGUCGAAGCUACAACACCCGCAAACGCCCCGUCGACGGAACCGCCUGCUGACUUUGGAGCAGAGACCGAGGUGACAGGCGGGUCUUCGGCAAGCCGUAGUCCGAAGCAACUUUCCGAGAGCACGUCCGCGUCUCUGCCGGAGUGGAACACGUCACCUUCGACUGAACACGACCACAAGCACAGCUUCACGACGGCCCCUGACCUGUUCUCAACCACUCAGUCAUACACAAGCUGGCGACAAAGCACAACACAUUCUGCAACUUCUGAAGAGCCUGCUGGCCGGGACAUUACAGAAGAGGCACCCUGGAAUACGGAUAUUACGACAAGCUCCUCUGUCCAGGACUGGACGGCGUCGACCGAGACGCCGGCCUACACGCCGGGUUCGCCAACCAGCACGGAAAUCGGCGUCGACGCGUCCUGCAACAUCGUGGAAGGUGCCCUACCGGUGUCCUGCCUUCUGCCUGAGGAACUCAACCAGACUGUGACAGUCAAGUUUGGUGAUCUGAACAAAACGAGGGCCGAAACGUUCCGAGCGGAGGCCCGGGUGUGGCUGUUGGACUACUGCAGAAAAAAUGGCAUCCCGCUUGGUGAGCCGACGGUGGUGUUCCUCAGCGGAGACCGCGGCAUGGACCUGAUCUCCUUCUUCGUAAUCAACCGUACGAGAGGUUCGGUGGUUCCAAGUGAUACCGUGGUUGCAGUCUUAAACAAUAUGAAGCUGACCUUUGAAGACAAGCUGGGAACUGCCAUCACGGACGUGUUCUACGGGCUGCCCGUGCUGCACAAGAAGGACGUGGGCGUGGCUGGCUUCCUGGGCUCAUCGCUGGGCCUCGUCUACGUCAUCGUGGGCGCUGCGCUGGCUGCACUGCUCCUACUCGCCCUGCUGGUGGUCAUCAUGGUCAAGUGUCGAACGCUGUCCUCGAACCAGUACUCGCCUGAUUCGGAGAAGCUGACCAAGGACUUGCAGAUGCGCGCCGAGAUGGGCGACCUGCGGCCGGCCGAAGAGAUCCUCAAGGAGGAGGCGCAGCUCAAGGAUGCGCUCAACGGCAACGGCACGCACAUCAACGGUGACGGCUGGGUCGUGCCGUACUCGCAGAUAGUCAACGAGCGCAAGCCCCCUGCCGACGCGCAGGACACGCGACUUUGAAGCUCGGUCUUUGUCGGACCGCUGGAACGAGAUCUCCAGGGUACCGCAACCAGUUGUUAGGCAGGGCUUUUGACUCAUGGCCUCUGAUGCGAUCGCGCUUGAACACAUAGAAAGUGCAAAGGCUUGAAGACUGUAUCUGCGUGCGUACUUAUACACGAUUGGCUUUCCCGGAUGAGCCCCUAAUUCGAUUCAGGAACAGUAUUUUAUGAUCAAUUUUUUCUUAGACCCAGUAACAUGCACUUAAUUUCAUUAGAAAGCAUAUAUAAUAAAAUGUAUGUACCGUGAAAAUAUUCGGAGCUAAACUCUAGUAAGCAGCUUCCAAUAUGUAUUUUCAGAUGGAUAUAUACAAACGAAUUGUAGAGUUUCAGACAAACAGCCGGCCCCCAGUACAAUUUUGCAGUGUAAGAACACUUCUGUAAGCGCACUAGAUACUCCAUGAGUACUUCGGCUAGUGCGCUGUUCAGGAAAUGUUGCGAAUUGCUUGAGUACUAAUGCUAGUAAUUCCUGCAACUGGUGCUUCCUCUCGCAAAAUGAAUAGUCGCAGAGCCUGAAAAGAAAGGCUAACGCACACUAUAGACACAACUUCACCGCGAAACUAUCGUAUGGCUGCUUGCCAGAACUUCAAGAGGUCAUUCCGCUUCACCUUUGCAUCCGCGGCCAUGAGUCAUUUUAGCCUUGUCAGAAUGCACUGCGGUUCUCUGAAAACCUACUCCAGUGAUUUUUCUGGCCUUUCCGGAUUCACAAGCCUCUUCAGCUGCACGCGGCUUCAUCGAGAACCGCGUGACUUGUCACAUGGUGCCCAGCUACAAUCAGUGUCCGUCGUAGCCCUGCAGACGGUGCACACUGCCUGGCUGGUUACUUUCAGUGCUAGAUGGACUUUGACCGAGAACUUUACAGUGUUACAAUGCAGCGGACACGCUGCUGCACAGAAGAGUCACUAAAUCACGUGAGAGCUGCUUGGGAUUCACGUGUGCGCGUCAAUGUGUGAGAUACAUCGCGGCCGCGGUAGCCGUGCAAUGUGACGAGAGACCUAGCGGGCUGGCCUCUCGGCGUCGACCGUCUCGCUCGUAAUGAGCUCGGCUUCGCUGAAACAUAUCGGGUGCCAUCGGAAGCAUUCUCGUUGGGAAUGCCGUAUUGCACGGCAUACUUAGGUUAUGACAAUGAGGGAAGAGCGAGCAGCCACAUUCCAGUCACCUAUACUGUGUUUCUUUCUUUUUUGUUUGUCACUGUAGCUUGACCCUGAGCCAGUGCUUAGUAGAAAAUCCGAGGAAUGUUUUCGCUGUGUUUUUUUCUUCUUUUUUCUUUUUUUGUGAGCCCAUAACGUUGUGUUGGGGGUGGCAGACUUCAUUUCCUUGUAAUUUAUCGAGCUAUAUUCAGACGCGGAAACGAAUGCUGAGCCAUCCCUUGGUCGAAUGCCCUGUUUCCAUCUUGUCCUGAUAUACCUUGCUGCGAAUAACACUAGAGAUUGCUGAGAAGGGUGUGCAAUCUUUGUGAGAGGUUUAUGGGUGAAUAUUGUAUAAUUGCUAGUGUGUGUGUUUGUGUCGAAUGCGCUAGAUCUUCGGCGCACUUGGGUAACAGGACAAAUACAAUCCAAAGGGGCCCAUUCGACAUUUGUCAAAGGUUACAAGUUACGGAAAGAUGAAGUUCACUUAGUGUUAGUUUGCCCUGCCCAUACUGCAACAAACAAGACCAUUAGCUGUGCUUCAAAAUAUGUUAUGGAAAGGGGAAUGCCGUCCGAAGGUAAGAUUACGUAGAUAAAUAAAGCAAAGACUUCUCGAUCAAUGCGGAAAGAAAAUAUAGACACGCUGAAACGACAAAGGUGCGCAUGAUUACUGUUGAGAAGGGACGCGAAAAAUUGACCCACGACUAACCAAGGUUUCUAGUUUAUUUAUUUACGCAUGUUUUUGUUUUUUUGAAAGACACUUAUUGAUAAAUACAAUUGGGUACCAAGGCUUUUGGGCUCAAGUCACUAUCAAUGCAGAUUCCUGUGUUAGAUUUCGUUGUUGGACACGAUUUUACCCGGAAGAAAAAGGAAAAGCUGUUUAAUAAAGUCAUAGCAUAUUUUAAAGAUAGAUUUUAGUGUUUAGUAAAAGAAUCUGUAUGUCGGUUCACUGCCCUAAGCUGAAGCGCUUCACGCUUUUUAGCGGCUGUAUUUUUAUGUUUUGUUUUUCAAAAAAUAGCAUGAACUACUUGCACGAGACUAUCAUUUAAAGUUGUUUGACCACGUCUACUUGUUUAUUGGUUCUCCUGUUGAGAAAGAAAGCACCGUGGUAACGUCUAUGAUUAACCAUUAUAUGAAUUUAGACAAUGACAACAUGUCCUUUACUCACCGCACUGUGGAACGAGCCAUUGAAAGACACCACACUGGAAAUGCCUUAAAACUAUGUCUUGCCAUUUCGUUCGAUAUAGAAACAUUCUGCCCCACAUUCCAUAAUCGAUGCUGCAUGGAUUUCUUUUUCCUGCGCGUCUGGUUGCACGCGUGAUCCCGAAUAUACCGUGGUUAUCUUGAGAUAAUGCCAUGGUGUCCUACAAGAGCUUUAGAGCUCUACCUCCUGAUGCAUCACAUAUUUCGCGGCCAUUCCAUUUGUGGUUUUAGACUGCUUCCUGUUUUCCCUUUCUUUGACUAUUUGUUGCAAAAAUGUAUCUAGGUGAAAGCAGGCACGUCUAUAAAAGUUGAUUAUCUGUUUUAGAAGUAUUACGUGUGAGCAAAAAGCGAAAAGCGCCCGAGGAUUCGCACCGCCUACUUUUGUAUGUGGUACAGUGUAUUGAAAAUAAUAUAUUAGAGAUCGUUGUAGUUUGCGAAAUAUUAUUCUGCCGGAAAAAUGCUGUUCCUCGGGCAGAGAUAUUAUAGUAAUUGAUUGGAUGUUAAAAUAUUAAAUGAAGGCCGUAAGGGAUUCGCAGCCGGCUCCAUUCAGUCUCCCCAACAAUUAUUUGUAGUGAUUUAUCAGGACGAGUGUGGCUACCUGCCAGUUUACCUAAUAGUCACAAGAAUGGCUCAUCAGUCACUUUCAACGUGACUUGCGUGUAGUCACUGUUCUUUUUAUAACGAGGAGUUUUGUCCUCUUGUAUAUAGAUUUUGAAAACGUGGUAAUGUAUUUUUGUAAUUUUUACUAUUGCGACUCUCUCUAUACCGCCCUUUUCACGAGAUGUCAGAGGACCUGUUUAGCUAUGCGCUUUGCUCUUUGCUAAUGCGCUCCCUAUAUUCUCAUAAGUGGGGCGUUACACCAUGUAACCCCCCAUAUUUUGUCUUACCCAUCGUUAUCACUCACUCAGCAAAGGUCUUAUUCAAGUGCCUAAUGCCUUACAUUUCGCUGAGUAGGUAACAACCCAAUUAAAUUUUGGCAAGGUAAAUAUUCUUGCCUAAGAUUAGUUUUUUUUGCACAAUUUACAAUUCAAAAUCGGGAAUAUAUCUAUUAGUGCAUUUUCUAUGUGUAAUAAUCUUUCUUCCUGUGCGCAAUAUUGUGCCAAAACUUGGGCCUCGUAUCAGUAAGAACAUGGCACUCGUUGUGAACUUUGUUUGAUCGCCAUACUCAAAGACGCGCUCGGUGGACCCUUCAGAGUCGUGUCCUGUUCACGGAGCGCGUGAAUAUACUGUGCCUCACAUUGCGUAAUGUAAAUGGUAAUCUAUCUUCUGCUGCAAUACAUGGUGAAGUGGUAUUCCACACACCUUGCGCGCUUGCUAGAGCGUAUUGAAUGCGCGCGAUGUUAGCGUUCUCGAACUAACAAAUCAAAGUGCCUGUGUCAUUGCUUUCCUGUUCUGUUCCUUGUCCGAGAUAUGUAUAUAGUGAAUUAAAAGUUGUUUCAAAUA